rnacentral:lncRNA from 1 species
AGUCUUUUGCUUCAAGCAGUUGGUGGUGCUGCAUGCUGGUGGGGAAAUGGAAACAUAAAGGUGUUUAAAUGUUUUAUUAAAGUCACCCCAAAAGGCAGCCCUCCUUUGUCUUGGUCUCUCUCACUAACUGAUGAAUUAUGUAUUUUCUGUUUAUCAAGAGAGUUGUCUUCAAUAUUGACCGAUUCACUCUCAAAGGAACUAUUGUGAGAACCUCUUACUUUAUAACAAAAAUUAAUUUUAGAAAAGGGCAAGUCCCACUUGUAUAUUUACUAGAUCAGAGCUAUGAACCAAGAGAAUUUUGUAAGAUUUCUUGCUGAUUUUUCCAAAUUUGUGUCUUUGCUCUUUUGUUUAAACUUAGAACUUAAGCUGCCUUCUAAUUUACUAGGUGGUCAAGGUCCUGCCAUCUCUGCCCGGUCUCACUCCCUGCUCCUUGUGGGCAAAAACACAGAGUCCAGGCUCCCUCUGCCUCCCCACUCACCCAGGUUGAACUCCAGUGACACUGAUGUGGCACUGCACACCAUGAGGCCAUGGCUGCCCUCCUGGUCCACCCACCCCACCCCCAGAUCCCUGUAUUUGCUUUGUCUCCCCCAAGUCUUGCCAUAGACCAUAUUCAC